rnacentral:rRNA from 1 species
UACGUAGGGUGCGAGCGUUGUCCGGAAUUACUGGGCGUAAAGAGCUCGUAGGUGGUUUGUCGCGUUGUUCGUGAAAACUCACAACUCAAUUGUGGGCGUGCGGGCGAUACGGGCGGACUGGAGUACUGCAGGGGAGACUGGAAUUCCUGGUGUAGCGGUGGAAUGCGCAGAUAUCAGGAGGAACACCGGUGGCGAAGGCGGGUCUCUGGGCAGUAACUGACGCUGAGGAGCGAAAGCGUGGGGAGCGAACAGG